UGCCAGACUCCUACGGGAGGCAGCAGUGGGGAAUAUUGCACAAUGGGGGAAACCCUGAUGCAGCAACGCCGCGUGAGUGAAGAAGUAUUUCGGUAUGUAAAGCUCUAUCAGCAGGGAAGAAAAUGACGGUACCUGAGUAAGAAGCCCCGGCUAACUACGUGCCAGCAGCCGCGGUAAUACGUAGGGGGCAAGCGUUAUCCGGAUUUACUGGGUGUAAAGGGAGCGUAGACGGCGAUGCAAGUCUGAAGUGAAAGCCCGGGGCUCAACCCCGGGACUGCUUUGGAAACUGUAUGGCUGGAGUGCUGGAGAGGCAAGCGGAAUUCCUAGUGUAGCGGUGAAAUGCGUAGAUAUUAGGAAGAACACCAGUGGCGAAGGCGGCUUGCUGGACAGUAACUGACGUUGAGGCUCGAAAGCGUGGGGAGCAAACAGGAUUAGAUACCCUAGUAC
rnacentral:rRNA from 1 species